rnacentral:rRNA from 1 species
AGUGAACGCUGGCGGUAGGCCUAACACAUGCAAGUCGAACGGCAGCACAGUAAGAGCUUGCUCUUACGGGUGGCGAGUGGCAGACGGGUGAGGAAUACAUCGGAAUCUACUUUUUCGUGGGGGAUAACGUAGGGAAACUUACGCUAAUACCGCAUACGACCUACGGGUGAAAGCAGGGGAUCUUCGGACCUUGCGCGAUUGAAUGAGCCGAUGUCGGAUUAGCUAGUUGGCGGGGUAAAGGCCCACCAAGGCGACGAUCCGUAGCUGGUCUGAGAGGAUGAUCAGCCACACUGGAACUGAGACACGGUCCAGACUCCCACGGGAGGCAGCAGUGGGGAAUAUUGGACAAUGGGCGCAAGCCUGAUCCAGCCAUACCGCGUGGGUGAAGAAGGCCUUCGGGUUGUAAAGCCCUUUUGUUGGGAAAGAAAAGCAGCAGGUUAAUACCCCGCUGUUCUGACGGUACCCAAAGAAUAAGCACCGGCUAACUUCGUG